rnacentral:misc_RNA from 1 species
GAUGAAGAACGUAGCGAAAUGCGAUAAGUAAUGUGAAUUGCAGAAUUCAGUGAAUCAUCGAAUCUUUGAACGCACAUUGCGCCCGCCAGUAUUCUGGCGGGCAUGCCUGUUCGAGCGUCAUUUCAACCAUCAAGCCCCAGGCUUGUGUUGGGGACCUGCGGCUGCCGCAGGCCCUGAAAACCAGUGGCGGGCUCGCUGUCACACCGAGCGUAGUAGCAUACAUCUCGCUCUGGGCGUGCUGCGGGUUCCGGCCGUUAAACCACCUUCAUAACCCAAGGUUGACCUCGGAUCAGGUAGGAAGACCCGCUGAACUUAAGCAUAUCAAUAAGCGGAGGA